rnacentral:rRNA from 1 species
AUUGAACGCUGGCGGAAUGCUUUACACAUGCAAGUCGAACGGCAGCACGGGGGCAACCCUGGUGGCGAGUGGCGAACGGGUGAGUAAUACAUCGGAACGUGCCCAGUCGUGGGGGAUAACGUAGCGAAAGUUACGCUAAUACCGCAUACGAUCUACGGAUGAAAGCGGGGGACCGUAAGGCCUCGCGCGAUUGGAGCGGCCGAUGUCAGAUUAGGUAGUUGGUGAGGUAAAGGCUCACCAAGCCGACGAUCUGUAGCUGGUCUGAGAGGACGACCAGCCACACUGGGACUGAGACACGGCCCAGACUCCUACGGGAGGCAGCAGUGGGGAAUUUUGGACAAUGGGCGCAAGCCUGAUCCAGCCAUUCCGCGUGCAGGACGAAGGCCUUCGGGUUGUAAACUGCUUUUGUACGGAACGAAAAGGCUCUGGUUAAUACCUGGGGCUCAUGACGGUACCGUAAGAAUAAGCACCGGCUAACUACGUGCCAGCCGCCGCGGUAA